rnacentral:rRNA from 1 species
UACGUAGGGUGCAAGCGUUGUCCGGAAUUAUUGGGCGUAAAGAGCUCGUAGGCGGUUUGUCGCGUCUGCUGUGAAAACUCAGGGCUUAACCCUGAGCCUGCAGUGGGUACGGGCAGACUAGAGUGUGGUAGGGGAGAUCGGAAUUCCUGGUGUAGCGGUGGAAUGCGCAGAUAUCAGGAGGAACACCGGUGGCGAAGGCGGAUCUCUGGGCCAUAACUGACGCUGAGGCGCGAAAGCGUGGGGAGCAAACAGG